rnacentral:rRNA from 1 species
GCUGGCGGCAGGCCUAACACAUGCAAGUACGAGCGCGAAAGCACUUCGGUGUGAGUAGAGCGGCGGACGGGUGAGUAACGCGUAAGAAUCUACCUAGUAGUGGGGGACAACUCGGGGAAACUCGAGCUAAUACCGCAUACGCCCUACGGGGGAAAGCGGGGGACCUUCGGGCCUCGUGCUAUUAGAUGAGCUUGCGUUGGAUUAUCUUGUUGGUGGGGUAAUGGCCCACCAAGGCGACGAUCCAUAGCUGGUCUGAGAGGAUGAUCAGCCACACCGGGACUGAGACACGGCCCGGACUCCUACGGGAGGCAGCAGUGGGGAAUAUUGCGCAAUGGGCGAAAGCCUGACGCAGCCAUGCCGCGUGUGUGAAGAAGGCCCUAGGGUUGUAAAGCACUUUCAAUUGGGAGGAAAAGCUAACGACUAAUACUCGUUAGCCUUGACGUUACCUUUAGAAGAAGCACCGGCUAACUCCGUGCCAGCAGCCGCGGUAAUACGGAGGGUGCAAGCGUUAAUCGGAAUUACUGGGCGUAAAGCGCGCGUAGGCGGCUUUUUAAGUCGGAUGUGAAAGCCCCG